AUAUCUCCCAGGAAAAAAUUUCAUGACAAAAAUGCCAAAAGCUAUUGCAACAAAUGCAAACAUUGACAAUUGGUAUCUAAUUAAACUAAAGAGCUUCUGCACAGCAAGAGAAACUAUCAUCAGAGUGAACAGACAGCCUAUAGAAUGGGAGAAAAUUUUUGCAAUCUGUCCAUCUGAUAAAGGUCUAA